GAUGAACGCUGGCGGCGUGCCUAAUACAUGCAAGUCGAGCGAACAGACGAGGAGCUUGCUCCUCUGACGUUAGCGGCGGACGGGUGAGUAACACGUGGAUAACCUACCUAUAAGACUGGGAUAACUUCGGGAAACCGGAGCUAAUACCGGAUAACAUGCUGAACCGCAUGGUUCAACAGUGAAAGACGGUUUUGCUGUCACUUAUAGAUGGAUCCGCGUCGCAUUAGCUAGUUGGUAAGGUAACGGCUUACCAAGGCAACGAUGCGUAGCCGACCUGAGAGGGUGAUCGGCCACACUGGAACUGAGACACGGUCCAGACUCCUACGGGAGGCAGCAGUAGGGAAUCUUCCGCAAUGGGCGAAAGCCUGACGGAGCAACGCCGCGUGAGUGAAGAAGGUCUUCGGAUCGUAAAACUCUGUUAUUAGGGAAGAACAAAUGUGUAAGUAACUAUGCACGUAUUGACGGUACCUAAUCAGAAAGCCACGGCUAACUACGUG
rnacentral:rRNA from 1 species